UAGAUCUAUCGUCUAAUGGAUUAGGACAUAAACCUUCUAAGUUUUUAAUGUAGGUUCGAAUCCUACUAGAUCUAA
rnacentral:tRNA from 1 species